ACUUUUUUAGUAUAUUAAGUAUAUUUGAUUUCCAAUCAUAAGGACUAAAAGAUUAGAAAAAGUA
rnacentral:tRNA from 1 species